GCUCAGAUUUGAAAUCUGGUCCCUCUGGGGGCCCGAGUUGUAAUCUGUAGGGGAUGCUUCGGAGUUGAACCCGGCCUAAGUUCCUUGGAACAGGACGUCGCAGAGGGUGAGAAUCCCGUACGCGGCCGGUGGGCGUCUCCGUGCGAAGCUCCUCCAACGAGUCGAGUUGUUUGGGAAUGCAGCUCUAAAUGGGAGGUAAAUUUCUUCUAAAGCUAAAUACCGGCCAGAGACCGAUAGCGCACAAGUAGAGUGAUCGAAAGAUGAAAAGCACUUUGGAAAGAGAGUUAAAAAGUACGUGAAAUUGUUGAAAGGGAAGCGCUUGCACCCAGACUCGGCCGCUUCGGUUCAACCCUACCCGCGUAGGGCUCACUCCGUUGCGGUCGGGCCAGCAUCGGUUCGGGCGGUUGUUUAAAGACGUGGGGAAUGUGGCUCCUCUCGGGGAGUGUUAUAGCCCCGCGUGCAAUGCGACCUGCCUGGACCGAGGACCGCGCCUUGGCAAGGAUGCUGGCUUAAUGGUUGUAAGCGGCCCGUCUUGAAACACGGACCAAGGAGUCUAACAUCUAUGCGAGUGUUCGGGUGUCAAACCCCUACGCGCAAUGAAAGUGAACGGAGGUCGGAGCCCUCGGGCGCACGAUCGACCGAUCCUGAUGUCUUCGGAUGGAUUUGAGUAAGAGCAUAAAUGUUGGGACCCGAAAGAUGUGCGAACUAUGCUUGAGUAGGCCGAAGCCAGCGGAAACGCUGGUGGAGGGUCGCAGCGGUUCUGACGUGCAAAUCGAUCGUCAAACUUGAGUAUAGGGGCGAAAGACUAAUCGA
rnacentral:rRNA from 1 species